rnacentral:ncRNA from 2 species
UUUCACCGUUAGGGGUGUUCCCGAAACAUCGGGAGCUGAGAACAUACCCUCGAACCUGACCUGGAUCAUGCCAGCGUAGGAAACCGGAAACCAAUUCUU